CGGUUCUCCCCUUCGCAGGGCCCGGAGCAGGGGGAGGGAGGGGGGUGCGGCCUCGGCCGAGGCGGCGGCAGCGGGGCUGCCCCGGCGGUGUCCCGGCACAGGCCGUUCCUGGCGCUCCGCCGCCUUCCUCGGCCCGCGAAGCCGGGGCCGGCCCGGUGGCAGGCCCGGCAGGCUGCCCGCGGACCACCGGCUUCUCGAGAGCGCCUUGGGGAAAGGUGUCUGUGUUGUUAAGGGAAAAUAGGGCAGUAGAUGCGGAAUGGCAGCCGUGCCUGUGCCAGGGCCCUGCCGCCCCUCCAUACCUGACCCGUGUCCGAACGGCGGCUUAAAGAGAUCAUUUGCCAGGCGCCGUGCUACUGACACGGCCUUUGGCCUUUAUCGCAAUUUGGCAAAUCAGUUGCUUCUAAUUACAAAAGCAUUUGAAACGCACCUUCCCCUUGCCCUCGUGCUGUCCGCUAGACAAGUAGACUGGAAAACAGAAGCCUGCAAAGAAAAAUGCCGGCUGACGCAGUUUCCAUAGGAGCUUAAGGAGGCCACUGUCAAGUUUAUCCCAGAUAUUUGUCUGCUAGCACAUCAGAAGAGACCAGAAAACAUCCUGUGGCUGUGGUGAAGGCAAGUACUCACCCUCUUAACACUGACCUUCAAGUAAUUGGCAACAACUAUCAUCUUUCAUAGCACUUUUCAAAGGCAGCCCUUCAAAAUCUGGUGAGCUAAUUGUGGGAAAGGCUUGCAUGGCUGCUGUCAGACCCUAACUGUGCCAAGAAGUUCCACGGGCUCUACCCCUGCCAUGGGCAUUUAGCUGCCUGUGCUUGUGGCCAGUCCUGGCAUGGCCCAGCUGUCAGCAUGGAUCUCAGUGCUGGGAAAGGAGCUGUGGGAAACCUUAUUGGGGAUCUCUGUCCCUUGGUUCAGGAGCCAGAUUUAAGCUCAGGCCCCUUGUCUGAGCUAUGCUGUAGGUACUCCCAUGCCUGGCCGUGUACCUUGCUGAUCCUGUGCUUCCCUGGCUGAUGUAACUUCCUGGCUUGACCUUGAACCUCUCUUGUCUGUAUGGUCAGCUUUGGUGGUCCUUGGACUGUGGCUGACCACUGUUGCUGUCACCAGCUGGCCUGGCUCUCUGUGUUCGGGUGCCAUGGGACCGUCAGUGAGGUCCCUGCCCACCUCACCAUCACCCUUAUCCCCAGCUUCCCUGCCCUGGUGGAGCAGCCAUGCUUCUUGCUGGCAAGGAACUGCAUGCAGGGUGUGGGUGAAAAGCAGCUUCCUUCUUCCAGGGAAAUGUGCUUUUUGGCACUCUUGCCAUGUAUUGCCCUUGCAUAAUUAAUAGUAGCAUUAACAUUGAAACAUGACUAAGAAAAAUAAUAAGCAUUCUGAUUAGAAACAAGAAAUAGAAAAGUGAAACUGCAUUAUUUUUGGCACUGUACAAAUUAUGUGCAAUGCCUAUUUCUCAAACUCAUGUUCUAUACUUUUAUGGGUGAUGUGACGUCCCUUGUGUGCUUAGAUUUUAGGAUAUGAUAGUCUUGUUUCCUCUGGAAUCUUACUCAGUAAGUUUCUGUCUCAUAUGGGACCCAUGACUUACACAGAGACAGAAGGCAUUCUGAAAACAGGAUGGUUAUGUGGCAACUUGAGCAGAUUCACAGGAGCACCCAGAUCAGACUGCUGCCUCUGAACCAGUUCUUAUUUGUAGGAAAGAUGGGAGUCAGCUGCACAUCUGUUUCCACUGGACUCCUCUCAAUUCAGAUGACAUGGCUUGCUUCUGUCCCAGUAAAGAUGGAAAAUAAACUUCUAUAUCUAACUGUACACUUUCUGGGACAGUCAAAUGAAAAUCGUGGCUAGAGGAUUAGCUGUAGCCAUUAAAACAAAAGCCAAGUUUCUGUACUUAGUGAUCCCAGGCGUGGCAGGUUAUUCUUGGCUGCUCACCGGGUGCCCACCAAGCAACUCUAUCACUCCCUGUCCUCAAUGAGCAGUGCCAGCACUGCUCACCAGCAGCCAAAACACUGCUGCAUUUUCAACACCACUCUAGCUACAAAGCAGCACACUAUGAGGCCUACUAUAGGGAAAGUUAGACUGAAUACAGCAUGUUUUCUGAAAGUAAAAAAAACCACAAACGGUUGUUUUGUUUAUCCUAAAACUUUAAAUGGCUUUUGAGUAUCCAGUUUAUUUGGAAGCAGGAAAAAGUUUUUUGCUGAGCCUUUUGUGCCCCUAGUGAAGAAUCUGUCCUCUUAAAUGCAGGAAAAAGUGGGCUGGAACAGAAUAUUCCUAGUCCUUCACAUUGUGCCUUUGGCGUUCUCCAUUUACAGCAUGUGCAAAUUGAACUUGUCCUUGAACCCUUGUGAAGUAUCCUAAGUUAGAGAAGUUGUGAUACUUAAAACAUUAGGAUAUCAGCCAUGGUAACUUAGUAUUAGAAAUAUGUAGUUGAAAGAUCUGAUCUCUGGAAUGGCUGUGCAGCAGUACAGCUGAUUUUGUUUCAGCAACAGGACUUCAGUAAGGUAAUAUCCCAGUUCAGAAUUCAGUCAUCUGUCUGCUGAGAGGAACCACAAGCAUAUGUCUGUCUUAAUGAUUAAAGAAUUUUCCUAAUGACCAUUGAGGAGCUGUUGUGAUUUGACAGCAGGAAAUCCUUCUGGCUUUUGAGUAUGUGCAAAAUAUUUUAAAGCAGGCUUUUAAGUGGUUUCCUUAGCAACCAUUCUUCAUUAGAGAUCGACACAUGCUAUUAAGUAUCAUGCUGGGUUUGGAUCAGCUUUGCAAUAUUAAAGACACUCGUUUAAAACUCUGCCAGGUCACGUGCAGUUUUGGAGCCUAGAUGGAAGCUUGCCGGCUGCCAGACUUUUUUUCCAGACAAGCAAGGACACACCCCUUGGUAGUGAGCUAGCAUAGGCACCCUGAUGGGUGGAGGAGCUGGCCCCACUCACUAUUGGCUGUUCUCUCAUCCAGGAACUGUUAGUAAAGGGAGAUUUUAUUUUCAUUCAUCUGCCACUCCACCCCCUCCCCCAAGAAAACGCUAGUGACUUGUGAUUCCCUUUUAAAGAGAUAUCAAGCACAGCUCUUAACUGAGCACAGCUCAUACUCUUUGUUUUUCUUUUAUCUCAAGUGUCUGGGGCAUCAGAUAAUUUAUCCUUCGAUCCCAUAUUCAGUGCUUAUGAUCAACAGGAAUGUCAAGCCAUUAGCAAGGUUAAUAGUGGAGAACCUGUGAGCUGUCAUUAAUAUAAAGAAGCACCUCUUCUGCUCUCCUCCAAAGCUAUACUGUUAUUUAUUUAUUAUGAUUUAGAUUGCCUUCCCUAUUUGCUAUGGAUAUUGGAAUUUAAGGCAGCUUUAGCAGAGCUGACCUGAGAAUCUUACAGGAAACAAAUGCUGCUCAGGGGAAAUGUGUUUAACGGUAAUCCUAAUGCAGGGCAUUUGCCUGGCAUUUGUCAUCAGCCUGAUCGGAUGCCCCAGCAGUGCUGGGGUCUCUAGGGGCAGACUUCUCUCUAGUUCUGGCUGGAAGCUCAGAGUUUGUUCCUGCCGCCAUAGAGUAAGAAGGAGUAAGAGUAAUUUUCUCCUGAUGCUUUCUCAGUCUGUGCCUUUGUUUACCUUGGGAUUUGGUUGCUGCAAAGCCUCCAUGUGAGGCUUCUGUCUAAAACUGUUCAGCGACACAGAGGCAGACCUAGUGUAGCACACGAUAGCUGCCUGCAGCGCCCUCAGCAUGCACAGUGCUGAGUACUGUGAGUUAUUUUGCUCUACCUUGGCACCCAGGAGGUCUUGGUUUCUGCGUGCAGUGGGAAGUGCCGAGUCCUACUGAUAAGGCUACUAAAUGAAUUUAUUAGGGUGUUGCUUUGAGAGACAGGCGGCUUUUCUGGCUUCUGUGCCCGAACUAAAAUUGGAGCAGGUAUUCAAGAGGGAAGAGGAGGGACUGCCAGUGCCUAUGGCUUUGACAGUCACUGCAUUGUUGGUCUGAAAUAGCUCAUGUCUGUUGACCUUCAGAGCUGGGCUGUGGUGGCCUUUUUCGGGCGACUUGGAAAACAGGGUGGUAAAGUGAAGUAAUGCCUGACAAGCAUCCUUUAAGGGUAAGAGUAUUCUGAUACUUGCAUUUUUUUAGGUAAGCCUGCUCUGUAGGAAUAUCUUCUUAUUUGGCCAUGCUUUUUUUUCUGUAAUUCUCCAGAUAAAGGCUUUUCCAGAACUUACAUAGGAAAAGAGAAUGCUUUUUGACAGUGGGCUGCUACUUUGUAUUCAUGGUUUUGAGGGCAGAAAUCAGCAGAAAUUUCUGAAGUUAAAACUCAUGCAGAAGUCAGAUCAUGUGUGAGCCAGCUUGUGGCUUUAUUGCACUUAAUAGCAGUUUUUAUUUCCUGUUGACGCUGUACUCGUCUUUGCUUGGUUGUGGUUAAUACAACUGCUGCUGGCUAUUAUGGAAGGAGUUACUACUUCAUCCUAAGACCGAAUAGGAAGAAUAGGAUAAUAGGCAUUAAAUGUUCGAUAAUAGGCAUUCAGUGUUCUAAAUUCAAUCUCUUCUGUAAGGCAAAAACUGAGAUAAUAUUAAAGUUAAAAAAUAUGUUUGUAAAAAAACAAAAAUCAAAGUGCCUGUAAGCAAAAUGAAAUCCUGUAGCAUCAUUUUGUAAUGUAGAUGAUUUCAUGAAAUCUCAUGUUUACAAGUAAACCUGUCAGCUUAUAAGGUCUGACCCAAAGCAUAUGGAAACUGCUGAGGAUCCUGAUGUUGACUUAACAUGGGCUGCACUGGGUCCACAGGACAAUGGAUGUGUUCAAAAUCAUGUCCAGCACUGAACAAAAGCUUCAGCAGUGUGUGUAAUCUUUGCAUGUUAUUGGCACGAGAGCGUCACCUAGAAAUACCAUAUGUAAGCAACACCCCGCUGCAUUCCAUGCAUGAUCUUUGCCUGCUUUGCCAUUUACCUUCUGUAUGGGCCCAUUACAGUAAGUGGGAAUCUGGGGUGCGGUGUAGUUGCGGUGGUUCUGCACUUGCAGACUAUCUGCUGCUGACAUCUUCUGCCAUAUUUGGUUAUUUUAAAACUUAGAUCAGUUUAGUGCAUGAAUCUGAUGAUUAUCCUUGGGGGACAAGGUGGAUGGUAGCAAUAAACAGCUGGAUGUAUAUAGAGUGAGGAUGCUGAGAACAACCAGAACUGAGUUUACUGCUGAGAGAAUAUUUAUGGGGAAUUGUACUUUUUACGGAUGAAAAUAAGAUGCAUAAACUGGUUGUUUUGUCAGUUCAGCUCUUUUUCUAGGAUAUCAGAGGUGUGAAGCAUUAACUUAAAGCUCUUUCAGUGAGAAGACCCAAGCCUGUGGCUGACUUCUCACUUCACUUCAUAGCCAUGGCUUUAUCUCUGCUUCUUAUCUGCAAAGUGGGGACAGGAAGGCUUCUCAGCAUCGCUAGGAGUGUUGUGAGGGUGAUUGCAGGAGCAGUUGUGAUGAGUUCAACAGAGGCUGGACUAUCUCCCAGGCUAGCUGUCGAGGGGGGUACCAGUCCACGAGCAGCAUAAGGCUGAGCAGCCAGCUCAUUACUGCAUUGCACAUGACUCCGUAUAGUGUCAGCGUUGUGCGUAGCUAGUAUGAAGCUUUGUGGAAAUGUGAGAGCACCUUCCUUGCUGUUUCCUUCAGGAACUGAGGAUGAUUAUAGUGUGGCCUGUCUAAUGUGUAUGGCUGCCCCCUGUUUGGGCUGCCUGGAACACCGGUGUUUGUGCUGAUCAUUCCCUGGUGCCCACUGACACAAAACUGUCCCAGCCUUCUCCAGCUGUGGCCUGACAGACAACCUUUUCCUGUGAGAAAGGCAUACUGUCACGUGGAAAAACCUGACAAAAAGGAGCUGAUCUCAUCCUGAUGAAUGACAGUAAGCAGCCCUUAGCCUGGGAUUUAUUCUGAGUGGCCUUCUGUGCAGUGCCGAAGACAUGGUCUUCCAGGUGUCCAAGGUGUAAUUGCAGUAGUAACAGUGAUUGUUUGUGUGCAAAUAAAUUCCUGGAAAUGUUUUGAAGCUGGAAGGAUUUGCUGAUGGCUAGGCUAAGUCAUCAAGCCACACACAGUUAGUUACUUUCCUAUGGAAACAUUUCACCAUUUUCAGAAGAUCAGUUUCAUCUUCAAAAAUGCAUCUUCAGCUUCAGGUUCAAAUCCCUCGCUGAUGCAAGAGAGCAAACAACUCAGCUGAAAUCAACAGAACUCGAUCCCCUUACUUCAAUGGUAAAUUAAUCCUGCCUCUGCCUUUUCACCUAAUCUCUUCAGCCCAGAGAAACAAAUUAAAUUGUCAGUGCUUGAAAGAAAAGGCCUGUUUAGUUUUCAGGGCAAGACAAUACAGGGGGAAGAAAGAGAUAAUAUUUGCAUUUAGCUUCAUUCAAGGAGUGGAGGUGCCAUGGUUAUGCUGUUAAAUGUCAUGCUGUGUUUGCUCCACUUGCAUCUAUUCACCCGAGCAGGAUUAACUAUCUAGGAUGAUAUUUGUGAAUAUUACUUGAUUUUUUUUUAAGAACAAGCGGAGGGUAAUUCAGAAGCCAGUUUUGAAAAGAGUUGCAUAUACGAUAGUAAGUAUUGAUAAAAACAAAAAUGAAGAAUGGCUCCUUACUUCUUGGCUCUACUGGGACAGGAGGUGGCAAACCUUACCUGUUUUUUGCAUCAAGCUAAGGGAAUGCUAAUUUCAAGAAGGUGAGCACAUCCUGGUUUGGUCUGUCACACCUGCUGUAUUCUAAACCUAGGCGACCCUGGCCCAGAUGUAGUCCUGGGUGAAUACCAAAAUGCUGGACGUUAUUUGAUCGGUUGGGAAAACCUGGGUAAGAGGAAAUGUUUCCUCAUGGGUUCUCACAGGUCCCAGCUCCACUCGCCUUGGGUCUCUGCUCCUGGAGACCCUUGUGAGCUGUUCAGCCUGUUCAGUCUUUAUCUUCCAGGUGAAUAAUUUUGUGCAGUUGUAUCUGCACGAUUAUGUUCUGUCUCUCAUUUGGGGUUUCAGGUUGCUUUCAGCCUGUGUUUAAGAUCUCAUUUUUUUCUACACCACCGUGAAACAACUGUUUUUCUACUAUGGCUUGAUCCACAGAUAGAAAUAAGCAAAACGAUGUUUUGUGCUCAGUGUCCCAAAUAAGAAAAUGCAUGACUGGGUCAGCCCACGUUCAGGUAAGAACUGGGAGAAGUUGCAUGACAUAUGCAAGUGCAACUAUUCUUUAGUGAAACAGAGUACUGUCAGGCACAUCCAGUGCUCAGCUGCCAGUAUAGUGCUUUUAUUUAGUGUCUGAGCCUAAAAACAAUGAUGAUUCUUCAACAAUGUACUUCCAUGGAGAAUUAAUGACACUCGGUACUACCUGUUUUUUUCCAGAGCUUUCUGGUUUUUGGGUGGAUGAGGGGAGUAAUCUCAGAGCAAUAAAUUCAAUGGGAAUUUUUUUAUUGAUACCUGUAAAGUUUUUACUGUAGAACAGAACCAGCCAAGAUGCUCCACAAAAGUACAUGUAAGUUUUAUUAAUCUUCCGCCCCUCCAGCCCCAUUUCCUUCCUGCGAUCAUCAUGCUCUGGCUGUGGUUGGACAGAGUUCCCUCUUCACACAGAGCAGAGUGCAUUGCGGUUGCACCCUGCCAUCACCACCGUUGUUUGAAGAUUUACAAGGUUAGUUUUUAAACGCCCUUGCAUCAAACAGAAACAUAUAUGCAUGCUGUUUCUGUCUUAACAGCUGUCAGUCCUAAACCACAGUGUGAAUAGUGAAUCUUUUCCAAUAAGCUGCACAGAGCUGGAGUGGAAGAUCCUUUCCGCAAGCCACAGCAUCCCUAAGCAGACUCUGGGCAUCUGAGAAGGAGACCUGGCCAUUCCCCAAGACAUCUCUGCAGGGGCUGAUAACCAGUACUCCAGGAACACGGGAGAUGUGGGUCUUCAUUUCGGGGGAGCCAAGAGCAGAAGACAGUUGUUAGGGCCACAGUUAAUACUCUAUUCAAGUUAUGGCACCAGCUCUGAAAACAGCAGUUCUAAGAAGUGUGUCCGCUCCUCUGCCCUCCUUAUUCCCAGCAAGAAUCCAAAGGGUGUGUGAAAUAUAACUCGGACUCUGGUACAGAAAUAAAUCAGGUUUCCUGUAGGAAGGGAAGAUGUCUGGCAUUCGCUGACACUGCUGGCUACUGCUUCAAUGAAUGAGGAUUCAUAUCACAAUCAGUUUUGCAAGGCUGGCGAGGAGUGGUAUGGUACAUUGACCUGCUCCUGCUGCUUUUGGGGUGUGGCAUAAAGAUCCCUGACGUGCAACAGUGGUGCUUUUGGUGACAGCAGAGCCUGGGACCACUGCCUGGGCCCAAAGCCGUCCUCACGGGCGUGAGGAGGCUGGAGUACUGUGCCAACCCCUAGAGAUGGAUGUUUGACCCAGAAGCACAGAUCCCUGUACCGCACCCAGUACUAGCGAGUACCGGUCUAAGCAGAGGUUCUGGCAGCGGUGGUGCUGCAGGGCUGGCUGCUGUGGCAAGACACCAGGGGCUGCCCUCAGUGGAUGGAGCCAGCUCCAGCCGGCUGCAAUAGGGACCUGCCAAAGCUGAGCCACAGUUCCCCAGUGCUGAGCAGAGGGGAAGGAUUGUCAGACUGCUACUCCCCAAGCAAGGUGCCUUCACCAGAGUGUAAAAAGCAGCGGUGUUCCUGCCCGCUGUCCUGUCAGACUGGCCCAUGAGGGAGCUGCCUGGCAGCUGGCCCGAGACAGAAGAAGAGAAGGCUGCCUUUGAAUUUCAAACACCCUGAGAUCUGACAAAAGCUGUGCUGGCCAUUCUCUGAACUGUAAUCCUCCCCAACCGAUUCUUUGCUGGCCCUCUCCAUGGCAUUUCGGUGAGAGCACAGCAGAUUCGUUUCCGUCUUCCAAAUGGAGCACCCCAAAAGCUGUCAUCUGCUUUCUGUCAUCUGGUAUGUCAUGACAUAAUUCCAACUGCUUGCUCUUUUUUAACCCUUUCUCGCUCCACAUGUGAUAUAGAAUUGUCUUUCCUCCUCUCUCUGCUGUGGGUUUUUGUGUUGCCUGUCUCUGCCUUUACCUCUAGAGAGGAAGGUUUCUAGAGGGAAGAUUUCACAUAGAAUAUAAAGAGAUUUGGUUCUCAGCCCAAGUGCUCAGUACUCCUCUGAAAAUAAACGUGCUUUCCAUCACCACUGAAGAGUCUUUAAAAAAAUUUUUUCUGUAUGAGUAAAUCUACUUAUCUCAGCAUUUGAGGACCCACAUUUUAUUUUAAACAACAGAAGAAUCAAGCAAUAAAAAAAAAUUAUUGAAGUGCUGAAAUUGGCAGUGAUAAAGCUGGUAUUUUAUUAAAUAUAACCUAUUUGGAACCUAUUUAAGUGACUGGUAAAGCGUUUAAAACGUAUUCAGUAUUUACAUAAAAUUUGACUUCAUAUGGUAGAAGCCUUCCUAUUGUGGUUCCCAGGCAGAGCACAGUUAUUGGAAUUCAUUGCUUGGCUGGUUCUUUGAGGGGUCAAUUUCCAGUAGUUUCCCCAUGACUGGUAGGAUCUGAAGGCACUGAGGAAAUCCCGAUGAAGACAGCUGACCACAUUGCAUCACAACUGAUGCAAAUUAAUUGAGCCCAAUUUAUGCAGGGCUACAUUUACUUGCAAGAGAGCUAAGCUUUGGUCCCUGCAAUAAAAGCAAAAUGUCAGGGAGGAAAGGUCAGAGACAGACUUCAGAAGUUGCUGCGGAGAAGAAUCAGUUAUUUCAGCUCCCCACUUUAAACCUGAACUCAGUAAUAUUCUUCCCUACGUUGUGGGUUUUCCAUAGGGAUCUCCCAGUUUGUUGAAGGAAUAACCAGGCUGGAGAGGGAAUGGUUGAAGGUAGUAAAGCAACAUGUCAAACCCCUUUUUUCCACAUUAUAAAUUCAACUGUCUGGGAGGAAACCACCUCAUGACUUGGAGCACUUUAGGGCGAACAUUAAUAAUAACGAAUUCUAAUUGGUCAUUAUUGCUUGAACAGAAAAUAUCGGAUUUCAUUUUCACCAGGAGGAAAUGAAAAUGUCAUGUACUGUAAUAUGACAAGCAUGGAAUUUACAGUAGUGAUAUGUACUUGUAAUUACCUUUAUAUGUGUAAAGGCACACAAAGCAGAACACCAGGGAGGCUGUUUUACAACAGAUUUAAUCAAGAGAACAUCCACGUCUCCUCGUAAACUUACUUAACCAACUUUGAAAAAAGAAUGGAGUUGAUUAGACAGGUUAAUGGGGUGAUGUCUUUAUAAAUGACAGAUGGCCACGUUAGAACAGAAAGUUGUUCACUCUCCAUUUUUUAUUUUAUUUUACUUAUGAGACUAUUUUACUGCUUUUUUACUUAUGAAACAUUGCUCAUACAUUUUUGAUUAGCAGUGGUUCACUGAAAAAAAAAGCAAUUUCCAAUGCAACUGAACUUUCAACUGGAUGGAUGUUGUCAUUAUGCUUAAGUGGCAAUAAUCAAAACGAAAAUACAAAAUGAAUUUUUUGGAAUUCCAGGUCCUUAUAAACAUUCUGACCUCCCCACAUUGGCCUGCAAAUGGAGAAAAGUGCUUACAGAUUUGCAAGCUCAUAAGAACGUAACAAAGGAAGGUAAUAUGAAGAAAGAAGGUAGCUUUUUUAUGAUAAAGGGAACCCAUUAGUAGUGAAUUUGACAAAGUAAUUAAAAAAUUAGAAUUCAAAAAAAGGCAAGAGUCUUGGAAAAAAAAUCCGCCUUGGACAUAAUGAUUUUAUCUCAGAAUUAUCAAAGCGUAGAAUGUGGAAUAGCCUUGCUUGUUAGUCUUCGCUCAGAUAUAUGAGGUAUCACACAAACCGUACUAACUGAAGGAGGAUUCACUGAGUACCUACACAAAGACCUCUGGUACGUGCUCUGGGGACCCUGGCCAGGCUUGAAGAAGAAGAAGUGCAAUAGCUGAAGUCGUUGUUGAAAGCCACCGCCACAGCAGCGUCUUUCCUGGUGUCUUUCCUGGACAGCAGGCUGCUUGGCAGAGGUCUGUGUGCCGGCAUGUGCCACAAUCAGUGAGGCUCUGCCUAAAGAUUUCCAGUGCCCGCUUGGCUGUUAGAUAAUCACAAUCCUGUGAUUCUUUUUGCAGCAUUCUCUCAUCUCUCUACUCCCAUAUGAAAAAUGGCCAUUCCUAACCAGCCUAGAAAUAAUGACAAAAUCAUGUGCGUUGCUAACCUUCUACUCUUUUUGCCUCCUCCUUUGGCAUUUGUCACUGAUCUGAAGUGUACAGCUUCCUCAUCUGAUGUGGGUACUUGAUUAAAACAAUCCUAUCAAACAUCUCUCUAGCCUUCCAGACAAGAAUUCGAAAACCAAAGUCUAUCAGGAAUGUUUUAUCUUGAAAAUUUCUGUGUGAAUUUAGGAUUUAUGAGAAGCACUGGACUAAAUUUUGGAAAAACUCUGGAUCCGUGGGGCCUUUGUGCAUUUAUCAGGAUUGAAGUACCAGUGCAGUGAAACAAUCCUUAAGUAUGUAUGUGAAACUCUGCAGUAGAUAGCAGUAAUGAAAGAUGAUUCUAGAUACUCAUUCAGGACAAUGUGGCUGCAGCAAGUCAGAAUCUGGCUCAGAAUUUUUGCAAGCUUUCCAAGUGCUAGCAUACUGAUGAUUUUUGAAUAAAGUACAAUAGUGUAUCACAAGUUUAAUUUCAUUUAUCUGUAGAUAAAUUUCCAUAAUGGUGGCUAAUCCUCAUUAAGGGGAACAGAUUAGCUUAUCCCUUAGCUAGGUGAGUAGGUGGCUGGCAGCUGCAGAGAGGUAGUGGUCUAGCUUUUAGUGGAAACGUUAUAAUCGGCAGGUUUGGGUGAUAGUUUGAAAUCAUAUUUAAGUUACUACACAACUCAAUCGACUUGUCCCACAAUUCAGUCUUAUUAACACAAAGAAAAUAAUUUUCACACAGGGUAUUCAUCUAGGUAAUAGCUGUGACUGGCUUUGUGUUCCGUUUUGGCAUUUCCAACAGAUUAAUUGCUGUAACGUCAGUAGCACCACUUAUCAGUGAAUUACCAUCUGGUCCAGCGUUGCCAAACUGAGAUGGACAUCGUGCCAUGGAAAUUGUUAAGAUCUACCUUUGCUCAAUUAAUUUCUUAAGUUCAGUCAAACUUUUGCCACGUCAUAAUACCACAUCCAACCCCGUCUGCCAGAUUCCAGAUUUUCUGCAGAGCUCCUAUUUUCCUCAGAGUUAGCUAGACACUCACAGCAUUUUGAGGAGGAGGUACGAUUUUUUUUUGUUUUCAGUUGGUGCUGACUGGAGUAAUGAGAUCAGUGGUGGAUCUCUGGUGUCAUAAAUGUAGUAGGGAUAGGAUGUAGGGGAUAAUAUAGAAAGGAUUAUGCAAAAAGAUUUGUAUCUUCAGGAAAUACUAACUUUCACAAUGCCUGAUGCUUAACUGUAAGCUAUUGUCUGCCAGCACGUGGCUGCCUUGCAAAGUACUCAGUUUGAGUGCCUUGAUAUACAAAAUACCAUAGCUCAUCUAUUCAGACAAUCCUUGAUCACUUUAUUGUGAUUUCUUAAAGUAAGUAAAUAUGUAAAAGAAUGUUCCUUGCUAUAUGGUUAUUAUAAUCCUAUGGAAGACUGCAGUUUAGAAGAGCCUGGUAAAUGCUGCAGUCUUCUAAAUCUUUUCACUCUCUUUUCGUUCUGUUCCUAAAACACCGAUUCCCUUGAUUCUUUACUUCUCUGUAUGGGCUGUUUCCCUGUUCACCUCCUUGCCAUUGAUCCCUGUUUCUAUUAAAACAGUCUCUUUGUCCCCAUGGCUUCCACUUUCUGCGGUUCUGUUCUCUGUUAAAUUCACCUCACUGUUUUGAUACAGUCCCUCUCCUUCCUUCCAGGACAUGAAGAUCACCUCCUCUUACUUGUCCUGCUCACCCUCCUACACUCAGUCCUAUCAAACCUCCCUCCAACAGAGCCUCCUCCCUCUGAAUCUGUGCAAGUACCUCUUCUCUGCAGGGAGAGCUAUACUGAAAAGGAAAUGAGGUGAUAAAAAAACGUGUGACAGAUUAAAAUGCAAGUUAAUUAGUUAGUACUUAUAAUAUAGAAGUUUCAGGCGAGCCAAAGUCAAUACAGAUCCAAAAUAUAUAAAAGCUAUUUAAAAAGAAGAAAAACAAAUACAGCACGAAUUCUCAGAGACACCACCCAGCACCACCUUUUUCUUUUUGUGCUGCUUUUUUUUCAGUUGCUGCAUGCUCGCUGGGAAACAAUGGCUUAGCCAAAAUCCUCAGGCUUUUCUGUUCUCUUCUGGUUUUACUUCAGCAUUGUGAUCCAGAGAAGUACUAAAAGCCAGAGAGAGAUUACAUAGCUUAUGCGUUCAUUACAAGAGCAUCUCUGAUCUUUGCAGUUGUAACUAUACAAUGGAGCUGAAAGACUGAAGCAUCACAAUAGGUACUGUUUCAAUAACAAUAAUAAAAAUAAUAAUAAUUCAA